rnacentral:rRNA from 1 species
AUACGGAGGAUCCGAGCGUUAUCCGGAUUUAUUGGGUUUAAAGGGUGCGUAGGUGGAUUGAUAAGUCAGUGGUGAAAUUUUGCAGCUUAACUGUAAGAUUGCCGUUGAAACUGUCAGUCUUGAGUGCAAAUGAGGUAGGCGGAAUGUGUAGUGUAGCGGUGAAAUGCAUAGAUAUUACACAGAACUCCGAUUGCGAAGGCAGCUUACUGGGAUGCAACUGACACUGAUGCACGAAAGCGUGGGUAUCAAACAGGAUUAGAUACCCUGGUAGUCCACGCAGUAAACGAUGAAUACUAGCUGUCUGCGAUAUACAGUAGGUGGCACAGCGAAAGCGUUAAGUAUUCCACCUGGGGAGUACGUUCGCAAGAAUGAA